rnacentral:lncRNA from 1 species
GGCAUUCUGGGAUGUCUUUCAUCAGCCUACACCUUUAAUAGUCAGUGGGACAGAUGCCGACAUAAAGAAUAUUCCAGAUUCAAGAUAGGGUACAACCGAUGACCAGGCAGGGCGGGAUGAAGCAAGUAGCAAGGGAUUGGCUUGGCUGAAUAGAACAGAUGCGACCGGUAAUGAGAUAUUGAAUGGAAAGAAUGAAAGCGACGCACGUACUGGAUUAAGGGUGUGCCAACUACUCUACUUCCCUAUUUCUUGCCUUUUCACCUCCCCUAAUUGGUGCACUCUUUCCCCCAAUUCCCCGAUAGAGAAGAAAUAGAUAAGCAAUGACUGGACUAGACCAAUGAAAGCGGACCAAGGUUUUUAUGCGUUAGCCAAGCGUGCCCAUUACAAUGCCUCUAUUACAGAAGAGAAAGGGACGCGGCCUAUUGACCAGCCGAAGAGCAUCCUUAUAAAAGAAUGAAUGGGAAGCAGGUAUUAUUUUUGCUUAGCGCUUGUGCAAAGGAACGGUCUAUAUUGCUAGAGUUAUCUUUACUUCAUUCCCCGUGUACUCCUCUAUUCUUAUAUUUGAAUUCCGUCUCUAAGAUCUUUUAGUGCCUGCCGAGACUUAUUUCCUCUUGACUAUAGUUGAAUGGAAGUUUCAAUUUCUAAGUCUAAAAAAAUUUCUUUUAUGGAGUCCUCAUAGUGCAUGCAUUCC